AACGGCGAGUGAAGCGGCAACAGCUCAAAUUUGAAAUCUGGCCUCACGGUCCGAGUUGUAAUUUGUAGAGGAUGUUUCGAGCAUGGUCCGGCCUAAGUGUCUUGGAACAGGACGUCAUAGAGGGUGAGAACCCCGUAUGCGGUCGGGUGCCUACGCUCAUGUGAAACUCCUUCGACGAGUCGAGUUGUUUGGGAAUGCAGCUCAAAAUGGGUGGUAAAUUUCAUCUAAAGCUAAAUAUUGGCCAGAGACCGAUAGCGCACAAGUAGAGUGAUCGAAAGAUGAAAAGCACUUUGGAAAGAGAGUUAAACAGUACGUGAAAUUGUUGAAAGGGAAGCGCUUGCAACCAGACUUGGGCGCGGCCGAUCAUCCGGUGUUCUCACCGGUGCACUCGGUCGCGUGCAGGCCAGCAUCGGUUCUGGUGGCUGGAUAAAGGCCCUAGGAAUGUGGCUCCUCUCGGGGAGUGUUAUAGCCUAGGGUGCAAUGCAGCCUACCGGGACCGAGGACCGCGCUUCGGCUAGGAUGCUGGCGUAAUGGUUGUAAGUGACCCGUCUUGAAACACGGACCAAGGAGUCUAACAUCUAUGCGAGUGUUUGGGUGUCAAACCCAUACGCGUAAUGAAAGUGAACGGAGGUGAGAACCCUUAAGGGUGCAUCAUCGACCGAUCCUGAUGUCUUCGGAUGGAUUUGAGUAUGAGCAUAGCUGUUGGGACCCGAAAGAUGGUGAACUAUGCCUGACUAGGGUGAAGCCAGAGGAAACUCUGGUGGAGGCUCGCAGCGGUUCUGACGUGCAAAUCGAUCGUCAAAUUU
rnacentral:rRNA from 1 species